rnacentral:rRNA from 1 species
AGCAGCCGCGGUAAUUCCAGCUCCAAUAGCGUAUAUUAAAGUUGUUGCAGUUAAAAAGCUCGUAGUUGAAUUUCGGGGUUAGUAAGUUGGUCGUGCCACUGGUAUGUACUGGCUUUACUGAUUCCUCCUUCUUGUAGAACCGUAAUGCCAUUAAGUUGGUGUUGCGGGGAAACAGGACUGUUACUUUGAAAAAAUUAGAGUGUUUAAAGCAAGCUAACGCUUGAAUACAUUAGCAUGGAAUAAUGAAAUAGGACGUUCGAUCCUAUUUUGUUGGUUUCUAGGAUUGACGUAAUGAUUAAUAGGGAUAGUUGGGGGCAUUAGUAUUCAAUUGUCAGGGGUGAAAUUCUUGGAUUUAUUGAAGACUAACUACUGCGAAAGCAUUUGCCAAGGAUGUUUUCAUUAAUCAAGAACGAAAGUUAGGGGAUCGAAGACGAUCAGAUACCGUCGUAGUCUUAACCAUAAACUAUGCCGACUAGGGAUCGGAUGAUGUUAAUUUUAUAAUGACUCAUUCGGCGCCUUA